CUCCCUCCCUUUUUUUACGGCUACAAUCCGUGUGUGUUGUCCAUGUGCCUUCAAGCUUUUUUUUGUGAAUGUACCAGGUAGAGAAUGAUGAUAAUGUUAAUUUGCAGAAUCGAAAGAAACCUGGAAUUGGAUAUUGACGAACACACAAACCUUUUUUGUUAGAUUUUUACUUGAGGAAGAGGGGGAGGGGUGGAGGGGGUGGGAGAGAGAGAGGACAACCGGAUUGGAAGUGUUAAAGGGCGGCGAGGAAAGUCUCGUCUCCCACCCUACCUCACUGUUUGAUUUGCCUGGUCUGGUGUGUUUGUGUGCCUUUUUGGGGUCUUCGCUGGAGGCGCCGGCCAGGGAUGGAAUGUUGCAAUCGCCAAGGUUCCAACGCUCGAUACAUUGUUGCCGUCCCGCGUUCCAUUUUCGAACGUCCGGACAUUGUAACUUCACCGCUUUGGCACCUAGAAUGUGGUGAGCGUGAGUGGGGAGAAGUCGAUUGAAUAAAAUGGCUAACUUUUGAGCAGAUAAGGGUUUGAACACUGCACUGGACAGAGACUUGCGAUCACCAGGUGAACGGUGAGCUGCAAGUGAGUUUAUAAAACUGAAACUGGUUGAAUGAAUACUGCUUUCAGAUGUCUACAGCCCAUUGAUCCCACUGUCAAAGAUGCUGCCAGACCUAUUAAGUUUCGCCAGCAAUUCGUCUUUGUUCCAGAUUUCUAGCAUUUGCAGUUCUUUGUUUUAUUUGACCUGAACAUGAUGUUGCCUCUGAAAUCUGUCAGAUGUGUACUUUUUUUUAAAAACACAAAGUUACCCAUAUCCACCCUCUAUACCUUUUUACCAAUUAUCUUAAAUCUCUGUAUCACUUGCUAAUCAAAACAAUUUCUCUCUAUUGACUUUAUCUGGGCACUUCAUAAUUUUGACCAUCUCACUUAAUUCUCCUCAUUCUCAUUGUAAGAAUUAAAUUCACAGAUUUUCAUGACUGUUCACAAUACUGUAGCUCCUCAUUCCAGCUACUGUUCUAAUUAACCUCUUCUGUAGCCUCUCUUGUACCUCCUUAAACAGUGAAGUUUAAUAUUAGCACUAAAAAUCUGCCCAAUAGAGUUUAACUCUGGUCAAGCCAGUGUGAAAUAAACAUAGUAUGAGUUCCAUGCUUGUGUUCUAUAAAGGUCUCUUAAAAACCAGAAGGGAAAUAGGUGGGUUUGGGUGGAGUGAGGGAUUAAAACCUGAGUAAGACUUGCUGAUCCAAACUUGCCCAUUUCUGGCUUGAAUUGAAAUUGCAAGGUGCAUGGUCAGCUAACCUGUUUGGAGGCGGCAUGGUGGCUCAGUGGUUAGCACUGCUGCCUCACAGCACCAGAAACCCGGGUUCGAUUCCACCCUUGGGUAACUGUGCAAACU